rnacentral:lncRNA from 1 species
CUCUCAAACGUGGGCGAGCUGCUAGGGGACCCGUCCCCCCACUGCCUGGUGCCCGCCAAAGCCUGGGGCAGAGCCCACCACUACCCACGUCUCCGCUCUGGCCGGGCUCUCCCUGCCGCUGCCAUUCGUGCUCUGUCAGAGGAGUCAGAGACGGCAGCCCUGACGUUAUGUCCCCACGGGGACCGCACGGGGUGGUUGGCUAUUAGAAAAAAAGCUUACAAAGGGAAGGAACCGACCAUUUCUGCACCUAACGUGGUUGUGGAAGUUCGACACCAGGGUUGCUCGGCUCAGGCGAGUGUUAGCACCCCGCGCUGCCUGAGCGCUCCUUCCCCUGCUGGGGCAGGGCUCUCCUCUGCACCCCAGGAGAGGACAGGAAACGCGUUAAAACUGAGGCACGAGCAGAGAGGCCUCUUUCCUUCAGCACGCAGCAGGUGCCCCAUCUUCAGCUUUGACGCGCGCAAGUGUCAGGCGCCUUUCAGGGCUCGGUUCUCGGGGCGGACGGAAGGUAACUAGAGCACCACCAUGACUACAACUACAGACAGAGCUGAGCCCAUCUUCGCCAACUGCUAGGAUCAGAACCACAUGGGCAGUUUAACAGGGCUUGGAAGAGGAGAAAAAGGGGAAGACUGGCACUACUAAUAAGGAAAACUAUGAACUUUGAUAGUUUCUUGAAACUUUCUCUGUCCUAGAGCCUGCCGAAACUCUCUGGAGUCCUGUCCUUGUCACUGUGCUGAUUCCAAAUAACAAAGAAUGCAGCUCGGAAAAUGCUUGCCUGGUAGGAAAUGUCUUGUUAGAACAUGAGGCAGCUUUCUCGUGUGCAUUUCUCAUGUCCUGCUACAGGAAGAUCAAAACACUGUUAAGGCUGUGUAUUCAGCUGCAAAAUGUUAAAAAUGCCACUUCCAGCUUAAGACAUACUUUUGAUAUUACAUCUACUGCACAUCUUAAACUGUUAGGCUGCAAUGAAAUUUGUCACCUGUAUUGUACACUUGUAUUAAGUGAGAAUGUGAAAAUUGCGCUACAGUAAUACUAUGUUUGGCAAUUCUUGUAUAUAUAACUGUUACCAGAAUGAUUUUAGAAAUGAAGGCUGUCAAACAUAUCCUGUUGUAAUCUUUUAGGAGACAGAAUGCCGCAUAGGACAGCCAGCCAGCCAGUUUUACUGUCUUAAAACGCUCUCUCAGGUCGUAUUAAAUCAUUUGCAGUGAAUUACUUUGUUAGGUAGAAGAGCUUGUCAGUUCUGAAACUCAGUAUUGUUCUGUCAAGUUAGAGGUACAAAAAAAUUCUGAUUUGUAACUGAAGCCAUAUAUUUUUUUGAAAUGUAGUAGAUGAUCUAAGAGAAGACAGAGUGAAAUGUUUAAAAGUACAAAAGAAGUGCAAUUCUGCCUGUCUAGCUUCCAACUUGAAAAGCCAUCACAGCAUGGCUCAGACUUGUGCAUGAAAUUUGGCAGCUCCGUUCCUCUUUUUGCAUCUGUUUUUGCAUCACUGCAAAAUCUGUGCUUUGGCACCACCUGAGCCA